GGCCAGGUAGCUCAGUUGGUUAGAGCAUUGUCCCCAUGCCAAGGUUGCGGGUUCAAUUCCCGGUCAGGGCA
rnacentral:tRNA from 1 species